rnacentral:rRNA from 1 species
GACGAACGCUGGCGGCGUGCCUAAUACAUGCAAGUCGAGCGGAAUUUUAUUGGUGCUUGCACCUUUAAAAUUUUAGCGGCGGACGGGUGAGUAACACGUGGGUAACCUACCUUAUAGAUUGGGAUAACUCCGGGAAACCGGGGCUAAUACCGAAUAAUACUUUUUAACACAUGUUUUGAAGUUGAAAGACGGCAUCUCGCUGUCACUAUAAGAUGGACCCGCGGCGCAUUAGCUAGUUGGUGAGGUAACGGCUCACCAAGGCAACGAUGCGUAGCCGACCUGAGAGGGUGAUCGGCCACACUGGGACUGAGACACGGCCCAGACUCCUACGGGAGGCAGCAGUAGGGAAUCUUCCACAAUGGACGAAAGUCUGAUGGAGCAACGCCGCGUGAGUGAAGAAGGAUUUCGGUUCGUAAAACUCUGUUGCAAGGGAAGAACAAGUAGCGUAGUAACUGGCGCUACCUUGACGUACUUGUUAGAAAGCCACGCUAAUAC